UGAAAAAAUGUGAGACAGUCAAGUACUGAUACAAUAAGGCAAGGAUGGGAAGAUGAGGCAGAGCAUGUCUAUGUCAUAGAAUUUGUCUUGAUAAGGAGUUGAUAAGUGACCCACUGAAUUUCUCAAGUGUGGCCAUCACGUGUGUGGGAUGCACUCAUAGUGUGCCCAACAUCCCUAACCAGGUUGCAUCACGAGGACAAACAGUGUACCAAGGAUGGAUGGACACGUACCCAACCAGAAUGAUUAGGGGAGGGAAAUCUGUUGUUGUUGUGGGAGCAGUGCUGCCCUCUGCCACACACUCCGCCACAGCUCACCGUGAUGUCAUGUUUUCUGACGUCACAGUGACGUAACAACACAAACCACGACAUUUCUGGCCUGCCAUUCUGCCUGAGAAAGUGAUUAUAAAUAGCCAGUUAAGGCCGUGUGGAUUUACCCUGUUGUGCAUAUGUCCACUGACAUUGGUUAAAUUGCAUGUAUAUACAAGGAUCUUAAUAAAAUAAAGUUUAGUAUAAUUGA